GUUGAUCUUGGCUCACCUUUGUACUUUACCUUUUGAGAUGGUUUCCUCUUGAAACAAAGAAAGAGGAGAAAUCUCCUGUGGCGGCAGCAUCCGAUGAGGCAGCAUAUUGGUAUCUGUGAAAAAGCUCAUCUCUAGACAAAACAAAGCAGCCUUUUUUUUUUCCAGAAAGGGAAGGGCAAAGAGGGAGGAAUUUAUUCUGGGAACACUUCAGAUAUUCCAGUGUGCUAGUGAAAUCUAUAGUAGGUGUGGUUGAAUGUGAAUUUAUUGCUUUAGGUUGCUCUUUGAAUCCACUCUAUAGAGUUGAUUUGAUGUGACUGUUACUUCAUAGGUUUAAACUUCUAGCUACGUUUUUUGGUACAACGGUUCUACCUCAAUCUGACACUGCGUCUCUGGUAGUGUACGGAUACAAUAAGUAUGUACACGCAGGUAGACUCAGAGCGAGGAAACUUCAUAAAGUGCAUCAAUACAGUGAGCGAAACACGCCGAACUAACAUGGGAGUCUCACUUCACAAGAGAAAGCUCUGGAUGCUUGACUGGUGCCAUUGUAAAGAAUGUGAACUGCAAAUUUUCACUUUUUUUUUUUUUUUUAAGCCUCCCAGUUCAAGGGCAUAUAGUGCCUGUCAAUUCGAUGUCAAACUGUGCCUCUUCACUGGUUUUGAAGGGAGAGCGUGAACUAUCCAGAAUACCUGAUGCCUCUGAAGGAUGUACAAAAAGAAAAUCAGGAACCUUCAAAACUCCUGCCAUUCAUUUUCUGCUAUCAACAAGUAAAUUAUUUGAAACUCUUGCCAACUACUUCCUGUGGUCAUGUGACACAAUGACAUUUCGGUUUGCCACCGAGCUGGACAAUAUCUAAGAGGGAAAAGGUAUUAACUGUACAUAUUUAGAAAAGUUGUUAAUUUACCCUUGCAAAGUGGCCUUUAUAGUGUAAUAUUUUAUACUUUCAGAAAUAAAUGUGGUUAUAUUUGAAAGUAUAAAAUA